UUGACUGACAUAUAUGAGUUGUUGGAUUUAAAGAGAUUAAGGCUGGUAAUGGUUUUACAAUAGAGAAUGAUGUUGAUUUAAUGCUUAUAUUUGAACUUUACAAGGAAAACCGAGAAAUACCCUUAGCUGUUACAACUAAGGCAGUAGCAUUAAAUGUAGAAAUACCUAAACGAAAUAGAAAAGAGAAAAAUGUAUGUUAUAUUGAAAUUGAGCAGGAAGUUGAUGCUGUUGAAAUUGUACCAAUUAGGAAUUAUGAGAGAGAAAGUGGUAGUUGCAGUAA
rnacentral:lncRNA from 1 species